rnacentral:tRNA from 1 species
GCAGGCGUGGCCUACUGGUUAGCGCUUCGGACUUGUAACCGGAGGGUUGCCGGUUCGAACCCCGACCAGUAGGCA